AAUAUAAUUAGAACUGAAACCCUCUUACCCAAAUGGAAAAGGAAAAAGAUGAUAAAUUUACAAACCGAGCAUCACUGGGAAAAGAAAGAGAGACGCAUCAUCAUUUACAGCUCUCUAUGCGGCAACUAUCCAAGGGGACAACAGUGUUUGGAAAAUCUGUUCUUGGUCCAGCUAGGGAGUAAUAUGCAAGUAUAUGGGCUGG
rnacentral:misc_RNA from 1 species